GAUGAACGCUGGCGGCGUGCCUAAUACAUGCAAGUCGAGCGAACGGACGAGAAGCUUGCUUCUCUGAUGUUAGCGGCGGACGGGUGAGUAACACGUAGAUAACCUACCUAUAAGACUGGGAUAACUUCGGGAAACCGGAGCUAAUACCGGAUAAUAUUUUGAACCGCAUGGUUCAAAAGUGAAAGACGGUCUUGCUGUCACUUAUAGAUGGAUCCGCGCUGCAUUAGCUAGUUGGUAAGGUAACGGCUUACCAAGGCAACGAUGCAUAGCCGACCUGAGAGGGUGAUCGGCCACACUGGAACUGAGACACGGUCCAGACUCCUACGGGAGGCAGCAGUAGGGAAUCUUCCGCAAUGGGCGAAAGCCUGACGGAGCAACGCCGCGUGAGUGAUGAAGGUCUUCGGAUCGUAAAACUCUGUUAUUAGGGAAGAACAUAUGUGUAAGUAACUGUGCACAUCUUGACGGUACCUAAUCAGAAAGCCACGACUAACUACGUG
rnacentral:rRNA from 1 species